rnacentral:tRNA from 1 species
AAAAGUUAUUAAGGUGUUUUGAAUGCACUUAUUGAUAUUUAGUAUCAACUUUUU